rnacentral:lncRNA from 1 species
UUGAGGACUACUGCUCCUUUUAUUACAAGAGUGACGAGACGGUUCAGAAGGACGAGGAACUCCAAUCCUGGUGGAAGGAACUCGUGGAGGAGGGACAUGGCGACAAGAAGGACGAGCCCUGGUGGCCUAAAAUGCAGACUGUGAAGGACCUAACAGAGACAUGUACGAUCACCAUCUGGAUCGCGUCUGCUCUCCAUGCGGCUGUGAACUUCGGGCAAUACCCUUACGCAGGGUACCUCCCGAACAGGCCCACCCUCAGCCGUCGCUAUAUGCCCGAGGAGGGUACUCCCGAAUUCGAAGAGCUCAGGCAAAAUCCUGACAAGGCUUUCCUGAAAACUAUAACAGCCCAGCUUCAGACACUUCUAGGAAUUUCAAUCAUAGAGAUCCUGUCGAUGCAUUCUACUGACGAGGUGUAUCUUGGGCAGAGAGACACUCGCGAGUGGACAGCGGACGCUGAGCCGUUGGAAGCGUUUGAGAGGUUUGGGAAGAAGCUGGGAGAAGUCGAGGAAACAAUUAUCAGGAUGAAUGGGGACAAGAGGUGGAGGAACCGGGUCGGGCCGGUCGAGAUUCCUUAUAUGCUGCUUUACCCGACCAGCGAAGGCGGAGUGACUGCCAAGGGAAUUCCCAACAGCGUCUCGAUCUAAACUUUCGCAUGCAUACAUGUUUCUUUUCUUGUUUGUUCGUUUUUAAUUAUUCUUUUGUUAUGGGAUGAAAGCUAUUGUAAGCGCGAAAUAUGAAUAACCACAAUACAAAUAAAGCAUAAUAAGCGUUUGUCAAGUUUUGGGAUUCAGUCUGCUAAUUUCUACUAGCUAGGCUAACUGAUUGUUCUGGAACUUUACUUUUACAAGAAUCAGACAUUAUCUACAAUUUCUAACUUUACAGACACCAAUCGACUGUUGAAGAAUUGGAAAAAUGUCAGUUGUGAAAUUCAGCAUGUAACCCCAGGUUUAACCCAUCAACUUGGCCUUUUUCUCUUCCAUUACAAGUACAUGAACUAUAAGUAAGUUUAUCUUUCUUCCUUUUUCCCGAUCUGCAUCCAUCGCAUAACUUGACCAUUUAGACUACUGGCUCGAUCUGAUGAUUUGAUUCUGCAGGCUCGACAAUUGAGCUGAUGAUCGUUAUACUUGUCUCUUUCUCCUAGAACCUUUAAAUAGUCAAAUUUGGCUACGUUUCCAUUCUUUGAAGCAGACCUUUAAGUUCCGGUACAAUAAGUCGGAUGACGUCACAAUGUCGAGAAAGCAAAGGGGAUCUAUGCAAAUGAACUAAAUUCAUGCUGGUUUCAUGAUUGGAGGUUCCCGAUUUAGGUGCGAAGGAAGGAGAAAACUGAGCGCCUCAAAGCAAGGCAAUCAAGUCGCACAAAAAAACAUGUAGAGGGCGUCUUGGUCUGGAGGCUAGAUCUAAGUGACUUCACUAGCGCGAAACUCAUAAGAGUCAUGGAAAUCACAAAUAUAUCGGAUAAAAAUUCACAGAGAUUUAUCAAACGAAACUCAUCAAAUAGGUUUGAGGGGGCUUUAAAUGAUGAAGUUUAUGUGUUUUCCACAAAUUCAAAUUGGUUGACAGGCUUUCAAUGCAAACACUAAAAGUAGGAAACUGCCCCGAUUAGACGGCUCUAUCCUUGUGGAAACGACGACGACGAUGACGAUGACGACAAUAAUGUAGCUUAUUAAAUUUGUAUUAGUAGUACGAGAAGUGCACCUAAAGCGGACGAAUACUUAGGAAAAUAAAAUAAAUGAGAAAACUAUAUAGAUGAGAUAUUAGAAUAUUUAAAUAAUAAAUUACGCUAUUAUCUAAUAGUUUAAGUUUUAAAAAUAAUUAAUAGAGAUUAAAUUUAUAUGGUAUUAGAGUUGGAGAUUUUGAGUUCGAAUUUUUUCAACCCCAUUUGUCUUCCCAAUUAUAUUUCCAUGCACUUAAAAAAAAUACUAAAUAUGAAGGGGGAAUGUUAAAAUAUAUAAAAAAUAAAUUAUAUCAUUAUCUAAUAGUUUAAGUUUUUAGAAUAAUUGAUCGUUAUCUCACAAAAAUUUACUGUAGGAGGAAUAUGUGGAAUCAAUGAUUUGACAUUCUAUCUAUUUUCCUUAAAAAUUAAGUUAAGUGUAAGAAUUUUUUCAAUCAACAUUAAAAUUCAUGAUAAGGUCGCUUGGUUGUGAUAUAAUGUCAUGCACCAUUGAAUUGUUUAAUCAGCUCUCAUCUAAAUGGAUGCAUUUGGUCAGAAAAGACAUCACCGCCUUUAAAAUAUCUCCUGUCUCGAGACGGGAGACAGAAUGAACUUUACCAAACGCGAACAUUGGUGUGAUUUGUCAAGCUUUCAAGCCUUUUUGUCAUUUCGAAUAAUGACGCGUCUCCAAUGCAUACAAUUGACGCAAGAUAACCCGAGGAUUAAGGCAACGCCACUAAGAUUCAAAGCGAGCCGCGUGCUUAUCACUCCAAUAAUUCCUUAUUUAUCGCCAAAGUCUUUGGUAGCCAUCAUCGAAUCAACGCGUGGUAAUGUGCCAUCUCCACAAUGAUUAGGUCUCUCAAUUCAACCAAAAGCAACCCAAUUUCUCUCCUCAAUUUUUUUUUUUAAAAGGAGGAGGGGGAAAAUCUUUUAAAAAGUAUUAUUUAGCCAAUGCCCAAGAUACUAAUCAUGCAAUUAAAUCGGAAAACUUAGGUUUUCAAAAUUAUAAGGUUAUGUUUGAUCGUCUGAAUCCUUAACCGUAAUAGGACUUGAUGGAAUAUGGUAUAUAAUUCAAUAAUUUUGCUAUAUUCUAUCAACUGUUUAAUGAAUCGUAGUAAUAAAAAUGGAUAUUUUCAUUUCUUAUUAUAUUUAUUGUUUGAUAUGAACAACAAACCAAUGUAAAUGAAUCUGAAAAUGCGCCAAUGGAAAUAGUAAGAAUUUCUCAUGAUUCAUUGUUAAAGAAAUCACAAAUGUACAAAUUGAGAGAACAUUUAUCAUACAAUUCAUAAUUAUUGUAUGAUCUAUAUCUUAAAUAGGGAAAGAGCUCAUUGCAGCGUUCUAAAGCCAUAUGUUUGACAAUGACAAGAAAUGUAAACGGACUAUAGCAAUAUCGACUAAGUAGAUUAGCUAGCAAAAGUCAAAUCUAGUAAAAGAGAAAACAUAAUUAUUCAUCUUCGUGAUUCGGAAAAGUAUAGUAUUUUGAUUUUCUUGCCACGUUUGUGAAAUUUCAACAUGAAUUAUAGAUAUAUAUUUAUAUAGAGUAUACACACACACACAUAUAUACAUAUAUAUUAUAGAAUAGAAAGAAAUUCAAAUAUAUAAUAAAAUUGUCCAUUAUUUUUAUUUUGAUUUUUCCUUUUUAAAUGUUAUUUCUAUUUUAAUUUUUAAUUUAGGAAGUUUGUUAUUAAAAAACAAUUUCUUUUACGCCAUAUAUAUAAGAAAUUCUAUCAAUAUUUAUCACACUUAUUCCAUAGGAUAUUUUUAUCCCGACUAAAGUCCCGUUACAGUCGAAUUUAUUUUAUCUUGAGCAAGAACUAGACAUAGGAUUGGAUAUAUUCUAUCCCAAUUGCUAGACGUAUCUUAACUUCUUUCGCUUUACAAAUCAAACACAUCCUGUUGAGCAUUCAUGAAACCACUUCCGUGGAAAAAGGAGAAAGAGGAAAAAGGAAAGAGGAAAGAAAUUUCAAGUCUCCAAUAAGGAAGGGAAGCUUCUUUGUGAUGCCUUAGCGUCGGAAUAUUCCUUAUAAGUACCACCAUCGUGACGCACACCCUUCUUCAUUCUUUUCAAUACCCAUCCUACUCUUCCUUUCGUCCCAUUAACUUCGCAAAAAGGUUCCAUACAUUCUCCGGAAUGGAUAAGCUGUUUCACGGGAUGCUGCAGGCCUUCGACUGCGGCAGCAAGGCAGGCCGCCAGCGCAAGGCGGCCGGGUCCAAGAAGGUCAUCGGAACGGUGGUGCUGAUGAAGAAGUACGUCUUGGACUUCAACGACUUCAACGCGUCGGUCCUCGACACCAUCCACGAGCUGUUGGGCGAGAAGGUCUCUCUGCGACUCGUGAGCGCCGUCCACAGUGAUCCCGGUGAGUGAUGACCCUCUUCCACACGAUAUUCUUGUCGUUCAUUUCUGGAACAAGUUCUUUCGACGGCUUUUCUUGGUACUAGACUGUGCUGUACAUUUCUGUUGACAAGAUCUGAUGAAUGGCAACAAAUUAAGCUGUUCGUCGUCGUGACAGGCGAUCUUCUUCCCCAUAAAGAAAACGCAAUAAUGACGAGUAUUUCCCAUAAUUUGCAAACGUCAAAAUGCAUCGCUCGCGUUUCGACGUCCUAUUAUAAAAAAGAAAGCAUCUUCUUACUUAGAUUUCAAGAAAGCCUAACACGUGCUUCUUCCUUACAAAGAAAAUAAUGAUAUAUCGAAGUGGAUCGCUUGCGUUUCGAAGAUCUGUUAUAAGAAAGAAAACUACUUCUUGCUUAUAUUUCAAGAAAGGCAUCUUCGCUUUACUUGCCGCAUGUUAUUGACAAGAGUAAAGUUGGGCGACUUGUGUUUUAAGCUUUUUGGUUCUGUGGCACGAUACUCUUGCGCGUUCAAUACAAUGAUUCGGAAAUUGGCCAUGCAUCCGAUUCAAUCAACCUAAUCUGUCACAUUCCCUACUGAAUUUAUCUUCUGAAGUUUGAUCUUUUAUGUGCAACUUUAGAGAACAUGUGUAAUCUUGAUGGACUUAGAAAAACAAAUAGAAAUUUUUUUACUGAAAUAUGACAGGUCAAACUUAGUUACCGCAUGUUUGUUGGUAGGAUGACUCCACUAUGCGCGCAUUUAUAGGCAUAGAUAAACAGUAUGUGCCCACAUAUUUUUCGACAAUUCUUGAUAUUUUAAUAGAUGGACCAUGGUAGAUUAAGAGUAAUCAUUAAAUCUUGCAGUUUCAUGUGACAGAAAAUUUGGGUACAUUUGGGUGUUUGCACUAUGGGUAGGAUUCUCUUCUUAUAAUAUAAACGAAAAAAUUAUGUUAAUUCCGAAAAUCUCAAGCCAAGGGGAAAAAAAAGCCAAUUGAAAAACGUAAACGUUCAAACUAAGUUAAGUAUUUUGACUUGAUUUUAAUGUUGACCAUCUGGGCACAAGUUAAUUAGUUCGUAUUUUAGCAACCGCUUCAGGCGCUUUUUCUUUUUCUCUCGACAUACAAUACAUGCAUAUAUGUAUAUGCGCGUGUAUAUAUAUGUAUUAUAUUUAUGCAACAUUUCUAAACUCAAGUAAAUAUGUGUCUCAUCUUUUUUCAUGUUUUUGAAGAAGUGGAUGAAACUAAAUCAGAAUUAUAAAUUGUUUUCCUCUAUCGAGUCCAAAUUUUAAAAUCGACAAAAGUAAAGUGUUCCUAUCUGUUUUGUACUGUUUUGAAUUUUCCACUCACGCUUUAUUUUAUUCUAUUUAAUUUUACUUUUUAAUUAAGAAAAAGCUCAAAUUAUUUUUCGGUUCUCUCUCUCCGGUCCACAUGAGGUGAUUUUCCUCAUGUCAUGUCCUAGUACCACACCACCUAAUCAACCAAUGGUGCAUGGCACUAGCAAUUCUUGUAGUUAAUUUGUGGCUAUUGGCCAACAUAAGCUGUCAUUUGUCAUUUUUAGUUGGGAAUUUAUGCGGGGUAUCGCGAAGAUGAGCUUUCUAAAUCACUUCACUGAGCACAAGCUCGGGUCGUUGCUCUUUCCUUUUGGUUUUUAGCACAAGAUCAGGUAUUGUUUGUUGAAACGGCACCAUGCUUGCGACAGCAAGAAGAUUAUAGAUAACAUAAUGUCAGUGGGAAUGAACUAAAAAUUGGAAACAAAAAGCAAAUGACCUUGCGCUGAUCAUUGAUCAGAUUCAGACCCCUUGCCAUGUUAAAGAUGAACGUCAUUCUCAUUUGCCGGGAUGAAAAGAUCGAAAUCUUUGAAAAUUUUUAUUUCUUUUUCGCGUUCUGUAGAAAACGGUUUGCAGGGGAAAUUGGGAAAGCCUGCAUAUCUUGAAAAAUGGAUCACUACCAUCACUCCCUUAACGGCAGGCGAUUCGGCGUUCAAGGUCACUUUCGAUUGGGACAAGGAGGUGGGAGUUCCGGGGGCGAUCAUCGUACAAAACAACCAUCACAGUCAGUUUUACCUCAAGACGAUCACACUCGAAGAUGUGCCCGGUGAGGGCCGAGUCCACUUUGUCUGCAACUCGUGGGUCUACCCUGCCGACCGAUACAAGAAGGACCGGGUCUUCUUCUCUAACAAGGUUCGAUCACGAUAAUUUGAUUGAUGAAGCUAAGCUGUAGCCGCAAUUUAUGAUUUGCUUCUAGAGUCUCAAUAGGACAAAAUAAAAGACACUGCCUCCGUGUAUGAAGAUUGAAAUCUUGUUUUACAUAUAGUAGUUCUAAAGAAUUAGGGUUCGAUCACGAUAAUUUGAUUGAUGAAGCUAAGCUGUAGCCGCAAUUUAUGAUUUGCUUCUAGAGUCUCAAUAGGACAAAAUAAAAGACACUGCCUCCGAGUAUGAAGAUUGAAAUCUUGUAUUUCAUAUAGGCUUUCCGAUUUCAUUGAAGUGGGGCAUUUCGCUUAGGAAUUGCACUUUAUAUUGGCUGAAGGCAUUUCAGUUUCGGAUUCUGUUCUAUUCUGUCACAUGAAAUAGCAAUAUGAUUGGACAGGGUUCCUUAGGUUGUCUCUAAUAAGAUAGCACGUUAUUGCAGACGUAUCUUCCGAGAGAAACUCCAGCGCCUCUAGUGAAGUACCGAGAGGAAGAGUUAGUUAACUUGAGAGGAGACGGAACGGGAGAGCUUCAGGAGUGGGACAGGGUGUACGACUAUGCUUACUACAACGAUUUGGGCGAUCCAGACAAGGGCACCAAGUAUGCCCGCCCUGUUCUAGGAGGAUCUGCUGAAUAUCCCUAUCCUCGCAGAGGAAGGACCGGUCGACCGCCGAGUGAGACAGGUUAGAUAAUGCACUCAUAUCAUGAAUCUCCAACUUGAUGUGAGAUUAUUAUGGCUUCAUUUUUUGUGACAAAGAUGCUUCAUUUGUAAGUAUAUUUUACUGAAUUUGCACGAUGUUAUCGACAGAUCCAAAUACCGAGAGCAGGCUGCCUCUGCUCAUGAGCCUAAACACAUACGUUCCUAGGGACGAACGGUUUGGCCACCUAAAGAUGUCCGACUUCCUUGCUUAUGCUGUAAAAGCCGUGGGUCAAUUUCUGAAGCCUGAGCUAGAGAGUAUAUGCGACAGCACGCCCAAUGAGUUCGACUACUUCCAGGAUGUGCUCAAUCUCUACGAGGGCGGUAUUAAGCUUCCCGAUGGCCCUUUGCUGGAGAGUCUGAAGGAGCACAUUCCCCUCGAGAUGCUUAAGGAACUCGUCCGGACUGACGGGGAAGGGCUUCUCGAGUACCCCAUGCCUCAAGUGAUCAAAGGUAAUGGAUACAUAUAUAACCUUGAGGCCUUUUUAAUCUGAUUAGUUUGAGGAUGUUUUCCUAACGUUUAGCAAUCAUGCUGUGCAGAAGAUAAGACUGCCUGGAGGACCGAUUUAGAAUUUGGCAGAGAAAUGCUCGCUGGAGUCAACCCUGUCGUGAUUCGCCGUCUCGAGGUAAACAACAAUAUCUUUCAUGUUACAGCUCAAACAAAUUCAGUUAAUAUUAAAAUGAAGUGCGGAAUGGAGUUCCACCAGUUGUCUAGUUGAUAAAACAUUUUUUGUUGAUUUCAGGAAUUCCCUCCGGCAAGCAAGCUAGACCCUAAAAUAUAUGGCAACCAGAGGAGUUCACUAAGGGAAGAGCUAAUUCAGAAGCAAUUGAAUGGAUUGACAGUCGAACAGGUACUGUCAUUGCAUCUCACAUCACUAAGAACGUCCAUGUGCUUGCUUAAAAGAUGAUGGCGAGUUCAUUUAAGUUCAAAUAUCCAAAUUGAAACGAUGCAUAACAAAUGCAGGCUAUCAAGAUGAACAGAUUGUUCAUAUUGGAUCACCAUGACACGAUCAUGCCAUAUCUGAGGCGGAUAAACAUGACUGCCACAAAAAUGUAUGCUACUCGAACACUCCUCUUCUUGAAGGAUGACGGUACCUUGAAGCCGCUGGCAAUAGAGCUUAGCAUGCCACAUCCUGAGGGAGACGAGUUUGGUGCGAUAAGCAAGGUGUACACGCCGGCCGAUCAAGGCGUGGAAGGUUCCAUCUGGCAACUGGCUAAAGCUUAUGUGGCAGUUAACGACGCAGGCUAUCACCAACUCAGCAGCCACUGGUAAAGAUCUCAGAGGAGCAUUCACCUAUAUAAAGAAGGGAAAUUUUUUAUUUAUUUAUUUCCUGCAUAUUGAUAAUUUUCUUCAUUCUUACCGCAGGUUGAAUACUCACGCGGCGAUUGAACCAUUUGUGAUUGCAACAAAUAGACAAUUGAGUGUGCUUCACCCAAUCUACAAGCUUUUGCAUCCCCAUUUCCGCGACACGAUGGAGAUAAAUGCAAUUGCCAGGCAGAUUGUGAUCAAUGCGGGUGGAAUACUGGAGACGACUGUAUUCCCAGCAAAGUAUUCCAUGGAGAUGUCUUCAGCCAUCUACAAGGACUGGAUUUUCCCCGAGCAAGCGCUUCCUACUGACCUCAUCAAGCGGUAAAUUCACUGUUCUAUACAUAUAAAUCAUCCAUAAGACUUCUAUUUAAAAUUGCUUCAAAAAGAAAGAAAAAUCAAGGCCAAUGAAGAUUGCGCAAAUGAACUUGGAAUAGCUGAGGCCCGUGCCGAGAUACAUAUCAAUACAGCUAUCGUUUGUUUUACUUGAAUUAUUCUGAUAGACUGAGUGACGAAAAAAUUCUACCUUUUCUUGUCUUCAGGGGAGUCGCUGUAGAAGAUGCGAACUCCCCGCAUGGCCUCCGCCUAUUGAUCGAGGACUACCCCUAUGCGGUAGAUGGGCUCGAGAUCUGGUCCGCGAUCAAGACGUGGGUUGAGGACUACUGCUCCUUUUAUUACAAGAGCGACCAGACGGUACAGGAGGAUGAGGAACUCCAAUCCUGGUGGAGGGAACUCGUGGAGGAGGGACACGGCGACAAGAAGGGUGAGCCCUGGUGGCCUAAAAUGCAGACGGUGAAGGACCUAACAGAGAUAUGUACGAUCACCAUCUGGAUCGCGUCUGCUCUCCAUGCGGCUGUGAACUUCGGGCAAUACCCUUAUGCAGGGUACCUCCCGAACCGCCCCACCCUCAGCCGUCGCUAUAUGCCCGAGGAAGGUACUCCCGAAUUCGAAGAGCUCAGGCAAAAUCCUGACAAGGCUUUCCUGAAAACUAUAACAGCCCAGCUUCAGACACUUCUAGGAAUUUCGCUUAUAGAGAUCCUUUCGACGCAUUCUACCGAUGAGGUGUAUCUUGGGCAGAGAGACACUCCGGAGUGGACAGCAGAUGCUGAGCCUUUGGAGGCGUUCGAGAGGUUCGGGAAGAAGUUGGGAGAAGUCGAGGAAAGGAUUAUGAGGAUGAAUGGGGACAAGAGGUGGAGGAACCGGGUCGGGCCAGUUGAGGUACCUUAUAUGCUGCUUUACCCGACGAGCGAAGGCGGAGUGACUGCCAAGGGAAUUCCCAACAGCGUCUCGAUCUAAACUUUUGCACGCACAACUGUUCUUUUCUUGUUUGUUCGUUGUUAACUUUCCUUUUAUUCUAGGAUGAAAGCUAUUGUAAAUAUGAAAUAUCAAAUAAGUGUGUGUCAAGUUUUGGGACUCAGUCUGCUAAUUAUCUACCUGCUAGGCUAACUAAUUGUUCUGGAGCUUUGCUUUUACAAGAAUCAGACAUUAUCUACAAGUUUCAAACUUUACAGACAAAAUCGAUUGUUGAAGGAUUGGAAAAAUGCCCGGUUGUGAAUGUCAGCCUGAAACCCCAGGUUUAACCCAUCAACUUGGCCUUUUUCUUCUUCCAUUGCAAGUUCAUGAACUACAAGUAAGUUUAAUUUUUAAUUUUCCUGAUAUGCGUCAAUCACAUAACUCAACCAUCUAGGCUUCCUGCUCGAUCUAAUGAUUUGAUUAUGCAGGCUCAACGAUUAAGCUGAUGAUCGUUAUACUCGUCUCUUUCUCCUAGAACCUUUAAAUAGUCGAAUUUGGCUACGUUUCCAUUCUUUGAAGCAGACCUUUAAGUUUCGGUACAUUAAGAUGAAAGAAAAGCCUUCCAUGCUGGUGUGUAAUAUGAGUAUUGACCUUGACGGGGCCUAGUAAGUUUUGCGGCAUCUCAAAUUCUAGAUGAUGUAAUUUUAAUGCAAGGAUAAUGUUCCGUUUAUCUCGCGUAAAAGGAAUGAUUUGAAUUUUUUCUUUUUAAAUGAUCGUUUCUAUUACUUGAACUAAUUAGUCAAUGACAUAUAUUUUAAUUAUUGACAAUUCUCCGUGUUUAAAUAUUUUUGAGAAUGAUGAAAAUAUUUCUCAUUUUUUUAAAAUUAAUCACGUGUGUUGCUUGAAAUAAUUAGUUGAUGAUAGAUUUUUCAUUAUCGACAACUAUCUAUGUCUAGACAUUUUCAUACACAAUGAAAAUAUUUCACGUUUGUUCAUUUGGUAAGUAAUAUAAAUGAUCAUUUUAGGAAAUGUUUUAUAUAUUAUUUGUGAAAUCAAUCUAAGUGAAGAUUGGUGCUGAUGACUACUGCAAUUUAACCAUUGAAUUUUAACGAGCAAAGAUUCGAAUUAUAACGACUUGUGUUAACCCUUGGUUAAGAAUAAAGCAAUUUCUACGCUACGGGUUAUAAAGAAAGCCAUCCCUUCUGUUAUUGAUUUCCUCCAUUAAAAAAACAUUAAAAAUUCAUUUGUUUGGCGGAAAUUUUCUAUCGAAAUAUAUAUAUACAUUUUUUUGACUUUUGAUGCUGAAGAGAAAGAGUCUAAUGAAAAGUCAUGACCAACCAAAACCUAUGCUUAAAUUUGAAAAAUUUAUUUUGUCUUUCAAAAAUCAGAAAUUAAAUUUCAAAAUAUAAUUAAACCUUGACACAUGUGCCCAAAUCCUUUGUGGCUUGGUCCAGGUUUUAUAGAAGCUGAGCUUGAGGCCUUUGAGGUUGGACUUGGGACUCUAGUGCCCAUGCUCGGGUUAUCGACAGCCAUGUCUGGGGACCUGGGUCCCACGGUCAAGUCACUAGCAUCUGGGCCUAGGUCCAUCGAGACUGGAGUUGGGUCCACAGAGGCUAGACCCAGGUUCCUGAGGCCAAACUCGAGAUCUUGGUGCUCAUACUCGGGUCCAGGAGGCCAUGGCCAAGUAUGAUUUAUCAAAAGUGAACAUUGGUAUGAUUUGUCAAGCUUUCAAGCCUUUUGUCAUCCCCCCAUCUCUCUCGAUCCAAUGCUCAACUCCCCAUCGGACGGUCUUCAAAGCAACGUAGGUUCGGGUCUCGCUUGGUCAUUUCAGAUAAUCUCAACGCGUCUCGAAUGAAUAUAAUUGACGCAAGAUAAACCAAGGAUUAAGGCAUAUGCCACUAAAUUCAAAGCCGCGUGCUAAUCACUUCGUCAAUUCCUUAAUCAUCAACAAGUCUUCGUGGCUUUCCCUAAAUGGGUCUUCGGUAGCCAUCAUUGAAUCAGCGCGUGGAAGAACGUGCCAUCGCCCCGGGAUUAGGUCUAUAAAUUCAACCAAAGCCAACCGAAUGUCUCCUCAUUUUAAAAAAGAAGAAGAAGGGGAAAAAUCUAUUAAAAAGUAUUAUUUAACGAGUGCCAUAGAUACUAAUCAAGCAUUUAAAUGAGAAAACUUAGGUUUUCAAGAUUAUAAGAUACGUUUUGUGGUCUAGAUUUCUAAUCAAGAUAGAAUUUAAUGAAAUAGAAUAUGUAAUUUAUGAAUUUUAUUAUAUUCUAUCAUUGUUUAGUGAAUAGUAGUAAUGAAAUUGGAUACUUUUAUAUCUUAUAAAAUCCCUUGUUUGAUAUGAACAAAAUAUGAAAAUGUACAAAUGGAAUCAUGAUUUAUUGCUAAAGAAAUUACAAAUGUAAAAAUGAAGAUAACCUUUGUCAAUCAAUUCAUAAUCAUUGUACAAUCUACAUCUUAAAUAGGAACAAAGCUCGUUGUAGCACUCUAGAGCCACAUGUUCAAUAAUGACAAUAAAUGUAAAUGGACUACGGCAACAUGGAGUAGGUAGAUCAGUCAACAAAAGUCAAAUCUAAUAAAAGAGACAAAAAAUUAUUUGUCUUCUUGAUUUGGAAAAAUAUAGUGCUUGGCCUAUCUCGUCACUUUCGUGAAAUUUCAACAUGAAUCAAAGAACAAUAGAAAAGAGGAGUUUCGACUCUUUUGCUUCUUUUGUGAACUUUUGACGUGAACUAGAGAGUUUCGGAGCAAAAGAGUUUCAACUCUUUCGUCAUUUUUGUGGAACUUUAACGUGAAUUAAAAACUACGGAGAAGUAGUAAAGUUUCAACAUGAAUUAGAAAUACGAAGAAGAAUGAGGCAAAGUGAAUUGGAAAGAUCCGUCUCAACUUUGAAUUUAUUCAUUUAAAAUCAAGGUUCUUCUACUUCGUUUUUAUUUAUUUAUUUGUUAAUAAAUUUUCUCUCUUUUUCUAUUUCAUGUUUAUUCCCUUCAAUCAUUCCUUAAUAUAUAAAUUUUCUUAAAUAAUAAGAACUACUAAUAUUACCUAAAAUGUGUAAUGAAUAUAAAUACCUACUAAAUAUACAUACUCACACAUAUAUAAUGUUAUAGUUUAGAAAAAAAUUCAAAUAUAUAUAGGAAUAAAUAAAAAAGAAAAUCGUCCAUUAUUAUAUUUUUAAUCUUGACUUUUCUUUUUUUAUAUUAGAAUCCAAAUAUUUUUAUAUUUUAAUCAAUAUAUGUAUUUUAAAUUUAAGAGUUUGUUAGUCGAGAAAAAUACCUCUUACGCCAUGAAUAUAAUAAAUUCUAUCUACCUUUAUUACAUAUCUUUCAUGCAAUAUCUUUAUCCAUGCUAUAUUCUCCUUAUAUCUGAAUUUAUUUUAUUUUGAAUAAGAAUCAAACUCGAGAAAAUAUAAGAUCCUAUCUUGACUAUGAAACGUAACGAAACUUCUUUUGUAAAAUACAUCCUAUUGAGUAUACAUGCAAAUACGUCCUUAAGACCGCGGAAAGAGGAAAAAGGAAGAAAUUCCAAGUCUCCCGUAAACAACUGGAGCUUCUUGGCGAUACCGUAGCGUCGAACUUUCCCUUAUAAAUGCCCUCCAUCGCAACGCUUACCCUUCUUCAUUCAUUUCAAUACCCAUCCUUCUCUUCCUUUCAUUCCAUCGACUUCGCAAAAAGGUUCCACACAUUCUCCGGAAUGGAUAAGCUGUUUCACGGGAUGCUGCACGCCUUCAACUGCGGCGACAAGGCAUGCCGCCGGUGCGAGGUGGGCGGGUCGAAAAAGGUCAAGGGCACUGUGGUACUGAUGAAGAAGUACGUCUUGGACUUCAAUGACUUCAACGCGUCGGUCCUCGACGACAUCCACGAGCUGUUGGGUAAGAAGGUCUCUCUGCGGCUCGUGAGCGCCGUCCACGGUGAUCCCGGUGAGUCAUGACCCUCUUCCUCGCUAUCUUCUUGUCGUUCAUUUCUGGAACAAGUUCUUUCGAUGGCUUUUCUUGGUUCUACACUGUGCUGGACAUUUCUGUUGGCGAAAUGAUGAAUGGCAACGAAUUAAACUAUUCGUCAUCAUGACAAGCGAUCUUCUUCCCCACGAAGAAAAGACAAUAAUGAUAAUUAUUUCACCGCAUUUCGAAGUGGACCGCUGGAGUUUCGAUGCUCUAUAAUUAAAAAGAAAGCAAUUUCUUGCUUAGAUUUCGAGAAAGCGUAACAUGGACUUCUUCCUCACAAAGAAAAGAUAAUAAUUAUAAGUAUUUCAUGUGACUUGCAUAUGUCUGAGUGGAUCACUCGCGUUUCGAUGUUCCAUUACGAGAAAACAAACUACUUCUUGCUCAGAUUUCAAGAAAGCAUAACAUGUGCAUCUUCGCUUUAAUUCAGCGUGUUAUUGACAGGAGUACAGUUGUGCAAUUUGAGUGUUUGGAGGAAGUAUUAAAUUUAAGUCUGUCCUCCAAUGAGGUGAACUUUACAGAUGUUUCUCAUGAGAAAAAUAAUUUAGCAGCUUCAGUUCCAGGGGACGAGGCACAUAGCUAGGGCCAUUAGAUCAAUUAAUAAUUGGCAAGCUGUUUGCAAUGUUAGAAGCUAGGUUGGAAGCAGAAGAUUACUUUGCCUUAAAGCGAGAUAUUAAAAGCGUGUGUAUCUUGUAAUUAAAUAGAGAUGUGAAGCCUAUUUGUAAUAGACUUACUUUAUUUUGUCUCAAAUAAAGUUUGGGUCAGAUUUGGGACAACACUUAAAGUUCGUGUUUUUUUUUUAAGACAAAAUAAAGUUCGGGCUAGAUUUGGGACAACACCUAAAGUUCAUGCUUUUUCUUGAGACAAAACAAAGUUCGGGCCAGAUUUGUGACAACACUUAAAGUUCGUGCUUUUUUAUGGAAUUGGCCCCAAUUUCUCAUAUUUAAAUAGAUAGAUCAUGGUAGAUUUAGAAUAAUCAUUAAAUAUCACGAAAAUUUGGGUACAUUUAGGUGUUUGCACUAUGGGUAGGAUUCUCUAAUAUAUGAGAGUCUUUCUAAACCAACUUAUAAUUUAAAGGAAAAAAUUAUGUUAAUUCUAAAACCUCAAGCCGAGGCCAAAAAAAAAAAAAAAAAAAAAAAAGGAAGAAAGAAAGAAAGAAAGAAAGAAAGAAAGAAGAAAAGCCAAUUGAAAAGCUCAAACGUUCAAACUAGGUUAAGUAUUUUGACUUGAUUUUAAUGUUGACCAUUUGGGCUAAAGUUAGUUAGGUCAUAUUUUAGCACCCGCGUCAGGCGCUUUUACUUUUUCUCUCUUUUAGAUACAAUACAUGCAUAUAUGUGUGCGUUCGUGUAUGUAUGUAUGUAUGUAUGUAUGUAUGUAUGUAUUAUGCAACAUUUGUAAACUCGAGUAACCACGUGUCCCAUCUUUUUUCAUGUUUUGGAAGAAGUGGAUGAAACUAAAUCAGAAUUAUGAAUUGUUUUCCUCAAUCGAGUCCAAAUUUUAAAAUCAACAAAUAUUUAUGCAAUAUUUGUUUUGGACUGUUUAUAAUUUUCCACUCACGCUUUAUUUUAUUUUAUUUUUAAUUAGGAAAAAGCUCAAAUCAUUUUUUUGGGUUCUCUCUCCAGUCCACAUCCUGUCCCAUAGACGUGGAUUUAGUCUUUAUCUUCUAUGCUCUUUUUGCUUCACGGAAUUUUUUUUUUCGAAGAAGUAUUUUAUUCAUAUUUUGACGUUUGAUUUGCUCAAGAAAAUGAAUUAAUGGAAAAUAUUUUUCUGGUUAUUAAAAAACCUAUGCUAAAAUUCAGAAAAAUGAUUUCCUCUUUAAAAAAUAAAAGAUGACUUUCCAAACUAUGACCAGGUUUUGGUGCUUGGACUCAAAACUUUAUGCUAAGCCAUGAACUCCAAUGCUGGCUCCUGAGUCCUUGGCAUCGAGGACUAGGUCUUCGGUGCCCGGGCUCGGAUACUGAGGUCGUGCUUGUGUCCAAGGUCUAUCGAGGCCGGGCUUGAAAUCCUGAUGCUUGUGCCAGGGUCUAUUGAGGCUAGGCCUGGUAAUAUGGGUGAGCAUGAUCCCUAGAAUUGAGAAUUGCCCAAUAAGGGUUGGUUCCAGAAAAUUCGAAUCCACUAGGAAAUUAGACUAUUGGUUCAUUUAGGGCGCGUUUGGUAACGAUUCUGUUCCCGAGAGCUGAUUCUGACUAGAAAUGAUUAUUUUUGAUUAUGUUCCCGGAACCGGAAACUGAUUCUGAGUAAAAAAGUGCGUUUGGUAAUUGUUUAAAAUUUUUUAUUCUGGAAUAGAAUUGCGUUUGAUACCGUGUUAAUUGAUUAUGUUCCAAAUUAAUUUCUUUUAAUUUUUAAAUAAUUUUUAAAUAAUUCUUUUUACUUUUUUACUUUACUUUUUUCCUUUUUUUUCUUUUUUUUCCCCUUUUUUCCUAUUCUUCUUCUUCAUCAUCUGGCCGGUCGCCGGACCGGCGACCGGCUAGACGAGGGCCGGUGACGCUCACAGGAGCGUCGCCGGCCCUCGGUGAGGUCGGCCUUCGUUGGCCGAGCCUUGCUGGCAGCUAGGCGAGGCUUGCCCAGCCUUGUCGGUGGCCAAGCCGGCCUCGCCUAGCCUCGGCGAGGCCAGCUUGGCCAUCGGCGGGGCUGGGCGAGCCUCGCCGGUGGCCAGGCGAGCUUCACUGGUAGCUGAGCGAGGCUCGCCCAGCCAUUGGCGAGGCCGAGCCUCGCCCAACUGCCGGCGAGGCUCGCCUGGCCAUCAGCGAGGCUGGGCCUCGCCGGUGGUGGGGCUUGCCUUCGGCGAGCUCGCCGAACCUCGCCCUGGCCUGGUGAGCCUCCAGCGACCGGCGGCGGACGGCGACGGCGGGCGACGGCGGGCGGUGGCGGACAGCAACCGGGAUGGCGAAAGGGAAAAGCGAGGGUUUCACCAUUUUGAUUCUUUUUCUGAUUCUCGGACGGAGAAUCAAUUUUUUUUUUUUUAUAUUCUCAAAUCUUGUCCAAAAUUGUUCCCAGAAACAAAUUUGUUCUCGGGAACAAAAAUUUUACCAAACGCGAUUCUCGUCCCAAAUUGAUUCUGAGAACAAAAAAUCAGAAUUUGGCACUAUUUGGCACAUUGCCAAACAGGCCCUUAGUUUCUUGGUUGGUCCAUGGAAUCGGCCAAGGGAGGUGGAGAAGGGGUAGGGAGGGGUGGAAGAGUAAGGAAAGGGCGGGCACAGGUUGUAGGUGGAGUGGAGCAGAGAUGGGAGAGGGCGAGACGAGGGGUGAUGAUGAGGUGGAGUGGGAGAGUAGGGGAGCGAGAGGUGGGUUGAGGGAGUGAAGGUGGUGGAGAGAAGAUCUACAUCUCUCUAGAGAGAGAAUGGACACAAACAAUGAAGGGGGGGGGGAUAUUAAUUCGAGGUGAUUCGAUCCAACAAGGUUGUGAAAGAUAAUGGAGAUCAAGACCAGAGUACAAAGAGUAAUGACAUACCUUUUCUUUGAAGGUUCUUGAAACCCAACUCAGCAAGAGUGAAGAAACUACCAUGAACGUAGCUCACUCUAGAGAUGUUGUUGAUCAUGCAAGGGACGUGGAAGAAAUAGGAGAGAUUGUGUAGUAUUAAUUGGAGAGAGAGAAUGCAGGAGUUUGAAUGAGAAGAGAGAGAAAAGUGGGGAGUUGGCGAUUGAUACAAGGUUUUUUGUUUUUGUUUUGAAAGGCAUAAAGGAGAGAGAGAGAGAGAGAGUUGUGCCAAUUGAAGAUAGAGAAAAUAGAGAGAUGAAAUUUAAUAUACACACUAGUCCGGUCCAAGUGGGCAAUUUGGAACUGGGAACAUGACUAGUACUCGUAACAAUUGUUGGUUUUGGCCUGGUUAUGGGUGGUCAGGGCGAUUUCUGAUCAUUUUCACACCCUUUCUUGUGGGCUUGAGACCGAGGUACUUGAUUGAGGCUAGAUCGGGACUCUAGUGCCCAUACUUGGUUCUCCAGCUAUCUAUGGGUAAGUUAUUGGCACCCACGCCCAAAUAAUGUAUAUAUAUUUAAGAAAAUCAAAUUAAAUUUUUCAUUUGGUUGGAAAAUAUUUUCAGCUCAUUUCACAUUUCAGCCAAAUAUAAAAAAAUAUUGUCAUUUUUCAUGAAAAUAAUUUUUGAAAAAUAAUUUUUAGAAAAAUUAUAUUUUUCGCAAAGUAAAUGGACCAUUAUAAACAAACAGUCAAUGAUAUCCUCCGGCCAAUAGCCCAAUGCCAAGUUCUCUAUAUUCUUUUUUCUUUUUAAUCGUUUCUGACCAAACGAAUUUCCCAUUAUUGACCGAACAUAUUUCUUGAAUUUAAAGUUUCUUUUCUGCAUGACUAUGUUUCUUGACUACGAAUGGAUUUUCCUCUACGCAUGCCGGCAACAGAGCUAAGAUCUCACCGUGGUUAAGGUUUGCAUUGACAUCAUGAAGAUGAUGCAUGUUUUGAUUAACAGGUUAAGGUUUGCAUUGACAUCAUGAAGAUGAUGCAUGAAUUGAAUAUGAUGGGCCAUCGCCAUGAAGGACGAUGCAAGAGAAUUGGCUGAAAGAGUUGUCUCUUUCCGAUCGUCCAUGUUAUCCAUAGAAUGGCUCUUUGCCUUGUGUGCACUAGAGCUGUGCAAUUAAAUUGGUUCUUCCUGACAAUUAGAUCGGACCGCCCAAAAAUCUGGUGUAGGAAUAGGUUCCCACUGGAACCAAUCCUAGAAAAUGUUUUGAGUGAAUACCUACGUAGGCACUAGUCUAAUAGUUAAAAACCCAAAACUCUAAUUUCUUUUUUCUCUAAAUUUUAACCGCAACACUCUUUCAUCAUUUGUCUUACCUUUGAACUUCUCGCCAAUUUUCCUCUUCUUACCUUUGAACUUCUCGCCAAUUUUCCUCUUCUCUUAAAUUUUUAUAGACAAGUGGGGAAUGGAGUUUUAUAAUUUAUGUUUUACAUUAUGUGUUUGAACUUUUUAUUAUAUAUAAUUGUACAUGACUAUAUAUUCAUCUUAUUAAUUGUUGUUUUUGGUAAAUAUAGAUUUUUGUUGUUCAUAAUUUACUUUGAAACUUUUUGUUACUCAUAACUUCAUAUGAUUUUGCUAUAAAAAAUGAACAAAAAAAAAAAAAAAGCAAGUUCUUGGGUAGACCCUGGAAUUGUACCAGAAAAACAUGAUAGGUUCUAGACGAUUUCAACAAAAUAGAAUAGGUUCCGGUGUCCAAAAACUAGAAAUCAAUUGUAAUAGGGUAGGUUCAAGGUUCCUUUCUAGAAUUUGUGCAUUUUAAAACCGAUUACCCAUGGUGUGCGCUGCAACAAGAAAAGACUUCAUCGUAAAACAUGUGGUGAUUUUCCUCAUGUGACGUCCUAGUGCCACACCACCUAAUCAACCAAUGGUGCAUGGCAUUAGCAAUUAUUGUAGUUAAUUUUCGGGUUAUUGGCCAAUAAUAUAAUUAUAUAAGCUUUCAUUUGUCACUUUCGAUUGGAAAUUUGUGCUGCGUACUGCAAGGAUGUGCUUUCUAAAUCACCUCAUUGAGCACAAGCUCGGUUCCUUGUCUGCUGAAACGGCACCAUGCUUGCGACGGCAAGAAGAUUAUAGAUAACAUAAUAUCAGUGGGAAUGAACUGAAAAUUGGAAACAAAAUGCGAAUGACUUUGCGCGAAUCAUUGAACAGAUUCGGACCCUUUGCCAUGUUAAAGAUGAACGUCAUUCUCUUUCAGCAGGGCGAAAAGAUCAAAAGCUUUGAAACAUUUUAUUUCUUUUUCGCGCUUUGCAGAGAACGGUUUGCAGGGGAAAUUGGGAAAGCCUGCAUAUCUUGAAAAAUGGAUCACUACCAUCACUCCCUUAACGGCAGGGGACUCGGCGUUCGAGGUCACUUUCAAUUGGGACAAGAAGGUGGGAGUUCCGGGGGCAAUCACCGUACAAAACAACCAUCACAGUCAGUUUUACCUCAAGACGAUCACACUCGAAGAUGUGCCUGGCGAGGGCCGAGUCCACUUCAUCUGCAACUCGUGGGUCUACCCUGCCGACCGGUACAAGAAGGACCGGGUCUUCUUCUCUAACAAGGUUCGAUCACAAUACUUUGAUGAAGCUAAGCUAUAGCCGCAAUUUAUGAUUUGCUUCUCGAGUCUCAAAUCAAUAGGACAAAAUAAAAGACAUAGCCUCCGAGUAUGAAGACUUAAAUCUUGUUUUGCAUAUAGUUGUUCUAAAAAAAUAAGCUGAUGCAGAAAAUUGGUCAGGAAGGAGUGACUUUUCAAACGGUCUUAGCUUCCCGAAAACCUAAUUUGCGUAUUAGAAUCUCACUUCUAGGAAUUCUCUGGGUAUACCCUACUUUUAGCCAGUUUCAGCAUCUUGUAAGCUUUCCGAUUUCAUUGAAGAGGGGCAUUUCGCUUAGGAAUUGCACUUUAUAUUGGCUGAAGGCAAUUCAGUUUCGGACUCUAUUCUAUUCUGUCAGAUGAAAUUGCAAUAUGAUUGGACAGGGUUCCUUCGGUUGUCUCUAAUAAGAUAGCACGUUAUUGCAGACGUAUCUUCCGAGCCAAACUCCAGCGCCUCUAGUGAAGUACCGAGAGGAAGAGUUAGUUAACUUUAGAGGAGACGGAACGGGAGAGCUUCAGGAGUGGGACAGGGUGUACGACUAUGCUUACUACAAUGAUUUGGGCGAUCCAGACAAGGGCACGAAGUAUGCCCGCCCUGUUCUGGGAGGAUCUUCUGAAUAUCCCUAUCCUCGCAGAGGAAGGACCGGUCGACCUCCGACUGAGACAGGUUAGAUAAUGCACUCAUAUCAUGAAUCUCCAAUUCGAUGUGAGAUUAUUAUAGCUUCUUCUUUUUUUGAUAGUAAUGCUUCAUUUGUAAGUAUAUAUGUUACUGAAUUUUCACGUUGUUAUCGACAGAUCCGAAUACUGAGAGCAGGCUGCGUCUGCUCAUGAGCCUAAACACAUACGUUCCAAGGGACGAACGGUUUGGCCACUUAAAGAUGUCUGACUUCCUUGCUUAUGCUCUAAAAGCCGUGGGUCAAUUUCUGAAGCCCGAGCUAGAGAGUAUAUUCGACAGCACGCCCAAUGAGUUUGACUCCUUCCAGGAUGUGCUAAAUCUCUAUGAGGGCGGUAUUAUGCUUCCCAAUGGCCCUUUGCUGGAGAGUCUGAAGGAGCACAUUCCCCUCGAGAUGCUUAAGAUACUCUUUCGGACCGAUGGGGAAGGGCUUCUCGAGUACCCCAUGCCUCAGGUGAUCAAAGGUAAUGGAUACAUAUAUCUAUGGGACCUUUUUCAUCUGAUUAGUUAGAGGCUGUUUUCCUAACGUUUAGCAAUCAUCCUGUGCAGAGGAUAAGACUGCCUGGAGGACCGAUGUAGAAUUCGGUAGAGAAAUGCUCGCUGGAGUCAACCCUGUCGUGGUUCGCUCUCUCCAGGUAAAUAAUAAUAUCUUUCAUGUUAAAGCUCAAACAAAUUCAGUUAAUAUUAAAAUGAGGUGCGGAAUGGAGUUCCACCGGUUGUCUAGUUGAUUAAACCUUUUUUGUUGAUUUCAGGAAUUCCCUCCGGCAAGCAAGCUACACCCUAAAAUAUAUGGCAACCAGAGCAGUUCAAUAAGGGAAGAGCUCAUUCAGGAGCAACUGAAUGGAUUAACUGUCGAACAGGUACCUUCGUUGCAUCUCACAUCACUAAGAGCGUCCAUAUACUUGCUUAAAAGAUGAUGGAGAGCUCAUUUAAGUUAUAACAUCCAAAUUGAAACGAUGCAUAACAAAUGCAGGCUAUCAAGAUGAAAAAAUUGUUCAUAUUAGAUCACCAUGACGCCAUCAUGCCGUAUUUGAGGCGGAUAAACACGACCACCACCACCAAAACGUAUGCUACUCGAACACUCCUCUUCUUGAAGGAUGAUGGUACCCUGAAGCCGUUGGCAAUAGAGCUUAGCUUGCCGCAUCCUGAGGGAGACGAGUUUGGCGCAAUAAGCAAGGUGUACACGCCAGCCGAUCAAGGCGUCAGAGGUUCCAUUUGGCAGCUGGCUAAAGCUUAUGCUGCAGUUAACGACUCAGGCUAUCAUCAACUCAUCAGCCACUGGUAAAGAUUUCUAAGGAGCAUUCAACUAUAUACAGAAGGGGAAGAAAGUCUAUUUAUUUCCUGCAUAUUGAUAAUUUUCCUGAUUCUUACUGCAGGUUGAAUACUCACGCGGCGAUUGAACCAUUUGUGAUUGCAACAAAUAGACAACUGAGUGUGCUUCACCCGAUCCACAAGCUUUUGCAUCCCCAUUUCCGCGACACAAUGGAGAUAAAUGCAAUCGCCAGGCAGAUUGUGAUCAAUGCAGGUGGAAUCCUGGAGAUGACUGUAUUCCCGGCAAAGUAUUCCAUGGAGAUGUCUUCCGCCAUCUACAAGAACUGGAUUUUCCCCGAGCAAGCGCUUCCUGCUGACCUCAUCAAGCGGUAAAUUUUCUGUUCUGUACAAAUAAAUCAUCCAUAAGACUUUCUUUAAAAUUCCUUCAAAAGGCAAGACGAAUAAAGGCCGAUGAAGACAGCGCAGAUGUACCUGGAAUAGCUGAGGCUCGUGCCGAGAUACAUAUCAAUAUAGCUCUCGUUUAUUUUACUCGAAUUAUUCUGAUAGACUGAGCGUGACGAAAAAAUUCUACCUUUUCUUGUCUUCAGGGGAGUCGCUGUAGAAGAUGCAAACUCCCCGCAUGGCCUCCGCCUAUUGAUCGAGGACUACCCCUACGCGGUAGAUGGGCUUGAGAUCUGGUCCGCGAUCAAGAUGUGGGUUGAGGACUACUGCUCCUUUUAUUACAAGAGCGACCAGACGGUACAGAAUGACAAGGAGCUCCAAUCCUGGUGGAAGGAACUCGUGGAGGAGGGACACGGCGACAAGAAGGGUGAGCCCUGGUGGCCUAAAAUGCAGACUGUGAAGGACCUAACAGAGACAUGUACGAUCACCAUCUGGAUCGCGUCUGCUCUCCAUGCGGCUGUGAACUUCGGGCAAUACCCUUAUGCAGGGUACCUCCCGAACCGCCCCACCCUCAGCCGUCGCUAUAUGCCCGAGGAAGGUACUCCCGAAUUUGAAGAGCUCAAGCAAAAUCCUGACAAGGCUUUCCUGAAAACCAUAACAGCCCAGCUUCAGACACUUCUAGGAAUUUCGCUUAUAGAGAUCCCUUUCGUCGCAUUCUACCGAUGAGGUGUAUCUUGGGCAGAGAGACACUCCGGAGUGGACAGCAGAUGCUGAGCCUUUGGAGGCGUUCGAGAGGUUCGGGAAAAAGUUGGGAGAAGUCGAGGAAAGGAUUAUGAGGAUGAAUAGGGACAAGAGGUGGAGGAACCGGGUCGGGCCAGUCGAGGUGCCCUAUAUGCUGCUUUACCCUACCAGCGAAGGCGGAGUGACUGCCAAGGGAAUUCCCAACAGCGUCUCGAUCUGAACUUGUGCACGCAUGCCUGUUCUUUUCUUGUUUGUUCGUUGUUAAUUGUUCCUCUGUUCUCGUACGAAAGCUAGUGUACGUGUGAAAUGUGAAUAACGACAAAACAAAUAUAGCAUGAAGUGUUUGUCGAGUUAUGUAGGAGUUUCAAACUUUACAUGUACAAACGAUUGUUUUAUGGAUUGGAAAAAUGUCAGGUUGUAAAAUUCAGUAUGGAACCCCAGGUUCAACCUUCAACAUGUUCCUUUUCUACUUCAAUUGCAAGAUCAUCAGCUAUAAAUGAGUUUUAUCUUCUUUUUUCUGAUCUAUAUCGAUCACAUAACUUAACCAUCUGGGCUAUAUGCUCAAUCUGAUGGUUUUUGCAGGCACAACAAUUUAAGUGAUGAUCGUUAUAGUCAUCUCCCUCUCCUAGAACCCUUGAAUCGUCGAAUUCGGCCUUUGUUUCCAAUCUUCGAAGCAGACCUAAGUUUUGGAACAUUAUGGUGAAUGAAAAGCCUUCUGUGCUGUAUGUAAUAUGGGGAAAAUUACCAAAAAAAUCAUAAAUUUAUUGCACUUUGAUUAAUUGAGUCAUAAACAUUUUAAUUGUGCAAAUUAAGUGUUAAACCUUUUCAUAUUUUGCCAAUUGAGUCCAUCCGAUCAAUUUUGAUUAGAAUAUGUUGAAGUGGACUCAAUUGGCAUAAUUAAAAUAUUUAAGACUAAAUUGGCAUCGGUAAUUUCCCAUGUAAUGUGAGUUUUGGCUUAGCGAGGCCAAAUAAGUUAUGCAACAUCUCAAAUCCUUGACCAUGUAACUUUAAGCAAAAAUAAUGCUCCAUUGGUUUUGCGGAAAUGAUUGACUUGUAAAUAUUUUUCUAAAAAUAAUUGCUUUUACUUGUAUUGUUUAAAUAAUUAGUUGAUGACAUAUGUUUUCAUCAUCAAUAACUCUUUGUGUCUAACUGUUUUCAUGAAAGAUGAUAUUAUUUCUCAAUAUUCCCAUUAUGUUGCUUGAAAUAAUUAGUCAAUGACGACAACUAUAUAUAUCUAAACAUUUUUAUAAACAAUGAAAAUAUUUCUCGUUCAUUCAUUUUUAUAAAUGAUACACAUGAUCAUUUUAAGAAAAUAUUUUUCAAAUCAUUAGGGAAAUAAAAACACCCUAAGUGAAGAAAUUAACAAGCAACGAUUUGAAUUUUAAUGCCUCGUGUUAACUCCUGAUUAGGGGAAAAACAACUUUUACACUAUGGGUAAAAAGGAAAGACAUCCCUUCUAUUCCCGUUUUUCUUCAUUAAAGCCACCAAAGCUUCUUAGAAAAUGGUACAUAUCCAUUUAUUUCCAGAAAAAUCUACUAACGAAUUUUUUUUUUCUCAUUUUUUGACUUUGGAUGCCUAAGAAAAAAGUCUAAUAGAAAGUCUUUGACUAAAUUCUAUACUCAAAUUCAAAAAAAUAAUUUUAUGUUUUAAAAAUUAGAAAUUAUUUUUCGAGAUAUAAUUAGACCUUGGUGCUUGAGAGCAGGGACCAACGUCUAUGCCCAAAUCCUUAAGGACUUGGCAAAGGUUCAUAGAGCCUGAGCAUGAGUUCCUUGUGGUCAGACUUGCGACCCUAGUCCAUGCCUAGGUUAUAGCCGGCUAUGCUUAGGUACCUAGCUUUCAUAGUCAAGUCAUUGGCAUCUGGGCACAAGCCCAUCAAGGCUCGAGUUGUGUCGAGUGUCGAUAGAGGCAAGGCCUCGGUUCUUGAGGUCCGGCUCGAGAUCCCUAUGGUCAUACUCCGAUCUUCGGAGGCCAUGCUCGAGUACAUGGCUUUCCUCCCACGUCGAAGUCACCGGUGACCACCCUCGGGUUUUUAGUUGUUAGGCUUGAGAAACCCCAACUCCGACAAUCAGAGAGGAUUGAAUUACUAAAUUCAAUUGUUAUUGUUAUAUUAUUUUGGUGCUCCAUAGAGCGACUUAUGGAGAGUUGACAGGUGGAUAUUUUAUGGUUAAUCACCUCGCUUCCCUUUGCUUUAAUUUUUUUUUCCAUCUUCCUGCUUAUGUCCAAGAUAUAACUUUUUAUCAAUAAUAGAAACACACUAUAAAUAAUGCAAGUAUCUUGACAUCACCAAAAUGAUCACCACGCAAUCAAAUUCUCAAGACAACAACACAUGAAUAUAUAUUUUAUUUUUAAUAUUUGAUAUUUAAAUAUAAACGAAAAAAAAGAGACAUUCAGAAUAAUUGUAGCCAGGCACUUGUUGGUCGUUUAGUGAAGGACUUUGUUCUUCUUUGCUUGGUUUGGAGUUCUUGGAAUACUCAAUAAACGCGGCGUUAAAUUAGUUUCAUUGACUUGACUUUCGAAAUUCAGACGAGCUUCGUCGAGGCAGAAUCUCACCGGCCCGCGAUUACCAGACUCCCAAAUCCAUGCGUAGUCUUUAAUGUCUGAUUUUGAUCAAUUAUGUUUCAUUGGCGUAGGAUCGAUUUUAAUGAUGCUAGCUCGAGGUGACCUGUUGAACCCGUAAAGAUACACAAAUCUAUAAGCUACUACCAAACUUUGAAUACAUAUAUCAAUGAAUCAUUGCGGCGACAAAUAAAUCAAACUUUUUGGAGAAGUUUGCUAAUGUUACUUUGACUAGUAUUUCCAAAUUAAUGCAUUUGCGAAAGUAAUGGUGUGAUCACCUAUAUGUAUAUGUAAUCUCAAAGUUACAGUCUGUUAUUACUUAGGGCAAAUAUAUAUGUUGAUGCAAAUUAAAGACGUUAGUACGGAAGGCAUUGUAAAAACCAAAAACCUUACUUCGUGGGAUGUGGAAUUUGUGUCCUUUAUCACUAUUAUUAGUAUUAUUUUGUCAAGAGGCAAUAAUACCUCGAGCAUCUUAACUUUGGCUUGUUUUAUAAUCGAGUAUCCAAAUCUUCUUUUUUGUUCGGUCGAGUACCUCAAGUUCUCAAAUGUGGAUCAAUGUGAAACCAUAGUUAAAAUUGUAGAGAAAAAAAAAAUGCAAAAAUGGAUACUAACACCGAUAAAGCCUUUAACUCCCACAUUCGCGUCUGAUAUGAUCUCUUUACGUGAUGUCACGUUAAUAGUCAUAUUGAACAGGCAAAAUCAAAAUUGUACAAAUCAACAUUCUCUCUCUCUCUCUCUCUCUCUCUCUCUCUCUCAUGCAUGUGCACACACAUCACCUACACCUAAGUGGUGGUCGUUAGCCAAAACUGGCUGGAAGGACUACAUUGGCAAAUUUUCAAAAAGUUUAGAACAAAAGUAGCAAAUUGAAAAUUUUUGAUUGAAUUGGCAUCUAAAUAUAAGGUUUGAGACCUUUGUUUAAAAAAAAAAAAAAUCUCCUGUACAUUGGCGGAGAAUCCGAGUGUGAUAUCAUAUCUGUUCGUUUGAAGUGUCAACAUUUGAUGCACAUGCCGUAUCAAGCUGGGUAACGACAUGGAAAUCAAAGUCUGUGCAUCUUAUCUCGAAAGAUUUCGAUCGGCUAACGACAAAUUCCCCCGUUACCAUCCCACAAGGUAAAUGAACCAACCGCGUGGCGGCGGCAAGUCGAUGAUCUCACCUCAAGGAACGGCCGCCGAGGUGCCCAUAGCAGCACCUCACAUUUGGCUUCUGUAGGAAGAAGAAUCAAAGCACUUAUUAUUCGGUGUACCUAUUCUCUCCAUUAUAAUAAUAAUAAUAAUCUAAUUUUCACGCACUUAGUAUAAUAUGCACGCAUACACGAAGACGUCGACAGGACCGCAUGCACAUACGUAAGAUCUUCAUUUAUUUAUUCAUGGGUUCCCCCGUUGUCUUUUCCUUUUUCCUUUUCUUUUUUCCAUUUUUGUAGACCUUGGCAAUUAGCAGCCCCUUCUGAAGAAGCCCUCUAUUCAAGGGGAAGAAAAGGUCGUCUCGACUCCCCCCAAUCACUGAGGUUCCCACCAAAAUGUCCAUGAAUUCAGGUUUUAAAUUCAAAGAGAUGAUCUCAGGUUCCAGCUCCUAACAAUCACCCUAAGGGUGCGUUUGUUUGCGUUUCUGUUUAAAAAUUGUUAUAGGAAACAGAAAUAGAAAAAAAUGUUUCUAUUCCGGGGAACAAUUUUUGAACAAAAAAACGCGUUUGGUAAACUUGUUCCGGGAAUAAAAAAUAAACAGAAACACAUUUGGUAAAUUUGUAUAAUUUUUUUAUUUCUUUUAUUUUUUAAUAUUUUUAUUCCGUGGCUAGGCGAGGCCGCCGGCCCUCAUCGGCCGGUCGCCGGUGACCGGCCAAAAGAAGAAAAAAGAAAAAAAAAGAAAAAAAGAAGAAGAAAAUAAAAAAAAAGUGUUUCUAAGUUUUGUUUCAGAAAUAAGAAACACAAAUUUGUUGUUUCUUAUUUCUGUUUCUUUUUUGUUUCUGAGAACAAAAAAACAGAAAAAGUGUUCAAAAACAAAAAAAAGAAAUACAAACAAACAGGCCCUUAUUAACUCUUUUUUGAACUUAUCUCGUGGGAUCAGACUGGUUUUCAUUAUAAUGGCAACAAGAGCAUGUGCGAGUGCGUGAUGCCCGGGUGUAUCUUGGCCAUUUAUGGGAAUGGAAGUCAAAAUUAGGUCACUUGCAUGAAAAAGCUGGAGUUGCUUCUAUAGUUGGCUAGUGAAAGCGCACACAAUGGAAAAGUCUAUCAAGUAAUUAACCCUGAUUAGUCUGUACAGCACAGCAAUUGGAGUUAGACGUAUCGUCGGUCUUUAAUUUUCCACAUGCAUCGUAAUGGGGGCACGGAUAAGGAGCUCACCUAGUGGAGAGGGGUGCGCAGGCUAAAUUCGGAGCAUUAAACUAAACAUUCUUCGGUGGGUCAUUUAUAGUUUGCCGAUGCUAGACGCCCUUUCUUUUUUGGUGUAAAAUGAAAGAAAAAGUAAAACUUAUUAGAAACAAUGAUUAUCAAGUUGGAAUGUAAAAAACAUGUUCAAUGUUUUGUAACAGUGAUUUAAUAUUUACUUCUUUUUGUUACUAAUUUACUAAUAACUUGGCAUCUCUUCUUUCGUUAAAAAGGAUUGUGAUAGUUGCGGACGGUGAAUUUUGCAUUACAUAGAUUUUUUUUGUUUUUCUCACAUGCAUCCUUUGUGUCUAUGUAGUAUUAGACUUGUCAAAAUGGUUCAUUAACUCAUUUUUUGUAACUCACAUUUGAUGGGUUCAGUAGUUGUAUUGGGUUAGUUAUUUCAAUAAAUGAGUUAAAAAUGGUACAACCCAAAAUAAUAUGGAUGUUAAAUGGGUUCAUAAAUUACUUAGACCAACCCACAUUUAUGGCUCUAUCUUCACUUUCUUUGAUCUCUACUUAAUCUUGCACUCGGUCACUCCAUGUUCUCACCUCAAUUUAAUUAUGAGUUCUACUGAAUUUUUAACAAUAUGGAUCGGGUCAUGUAUGGGGACCGAUCGGGUUGGAUAUGUGUUGCUAGAUUUGUAUUCUAUAUAAAAAGGGUCAAUUUGGGUUGAACUAUUUUUGAAUUGAUCCAAACCUGACCUAAUCCACUUGCUUGGUAAAAGUCCAUCGCAUGAUCUUGAGAGAUUCAUUAUUCCUCACCCAGUUGCCUUCGGCAUUCAUUAGCAUGGUAAUACGGUUCCUAUUUCUCCGUUGUAUAGUGGUGGCAUGAAAUUUUUUUGUAUUCCUGUCUCCCCAUUUGAGACACUUAAUUCUCGAUCUUAUACCCAAAAACAUUUAUUCUUGUCGCCAUAGGGAUUCGAUUUCUUUGUGGAUAUUUUGAAUCCUGUAAUGAUCAUACUGCAAGGUGGGGUUGUUCAUCCGAAACUGAAACUCAUUUUUCAGCCCUUUGAUUUUCUUAUAUGAGUUGGGGAAUCGUUUUUUACUCCACGCCGCUAGUUUAGUAGCCAUAGUUUUCAAUUUUUCAACCAAAUUUUUCAGAUAGGAAUCCUCCCAUGUUUGCUUGACUAUUCUCCUACGAUCUUCGUCUUCCGCCAAAAAUGGCUCAUAUUUGAACUCUCGGUGUUUAUGUGUUGUAGUGGGUAUAGUUGACAAGAUGAGCGGACUAUGAUCAUAGCUAAUAGCUGGUAAGGCUAUAACUUCAGCAUUUGGAUAAUCUAUUCUCCAUUCCAUGGCUUCGGCGGACUUUGAACGGCAAGAAAAGAAGACCUGCAAAUAUUUUCUUUUUAUACGUGUGCCCUAAAGGUCAAAUUUGACCUGUGGCCCACCUCAAAUUAGCUUCACGUGGGAGAGAGAUGCUGCUUCUUUCUUCGACGUGGAGUCUGUGUGCGCGCGCGCCCAGAGUCAACACUUUGACUCAGGCCCUCAGAUUCCUUUUUAAACUCUAUGUGCAGACUCCUUAUUUCCUUUAAUAUAUAUAUAAAGUGUGCACAAAGUCUUGUUUGCACAUCCGAAAUGGAGAAUCCAAGAAGGAAAUUGUUUCUUCCUUUUUCAUCCGAUUUAUAAUCCACUUGGAAAAAACUUUAUUGAUAAAUUCGGUUUAAUAAAACGUUAUCCGAAUCCAAACUCGAGAUAUUAAUUUAACACACCCCAAAUCAAGUCGUUGCACGUGUCGAUGUAGUCUCGAGUUCGACCCGCUUUGUGUCGAGGUUACGGAAUCCACAUUUUGGCGAAACCUCUAAAGAAUUUGAAAAAAAAAUGCGAGUUAGCUCAAACGUCCCCCAAAAGCUUAGGUCAUGCGUGUGAUCUGCGAGAUUGCUAUCUUUUUUUUUUUUUUUUUACUUUUUUGUGGGGCGAAUCGGAUGUAUUCAUAUUCAAUCUGGUAGUUCGAUUUUCUUGCACUGACAAAAGAAGAUGCUUUGGUACAAUGCCUACUCGUGGGAGACGCCAAGGAAGCGAUCGAUUCUGGGGCUCAGCAUUAGAUUAUUGCUACCAUCAAUUUUUCAUGGUACCUAAAGUCAAAUUGAUUGAAAAAAUAUUUAAUUUAACUUAAUCUAUGUAUAGUACAUAAAUGGCCCCCACCCAAAAAAAAAUAAAAUCUAUUGUACAGUUCUGUAGCUGUCCUAAUGAGAUACCUUGCACUUGGUAUUAUCUAUUUUGAUUACCGACUAAAUUGCGCCUUUGUUGGUCAAAGUUGUUAUAUAAAAUAUGUUUAUUCAAAUCAUAUGGGGCUAAUUCGAUUGGUUAGAAUGUUUUGUUGCCCGAAAAUUAAAUUAGAAUGUUUGCAAGGAAUUCCUUUCUUUAUUGUUUCGUGUACGCUAUAUUAAUUGAUUUGAUUGGUGUGCGAACUAAAUUAGUAGAGGGUCACGAAUCACGUGGUCAACAAAUAGCAUGCACGUGUGCAUCGUUUAUUGAUCCUUAUUUGUGGAGAAAUUCGACAUGACUUGUCUAACUUAUAUACGUUACGUUUAAUCAUAAACUAAACAUAAUUCAUUGUUUUUUUUUUGUCAUUGUGACUCUAGAAAAAAAAAUACCUACCCUUAAAUUUUAAAAUAGAUUUAGCUGUGAUGUUUUUAUCUUUCUUUUAUAGAUUUGAUUAGAUUUUUUUCUCAUACAUAUACAUAUAUACUUGUGUAUGUGGAUAAAAAAGACAAGACGAGAGAUAUAACUCUUGCAUUGAAACUUGGAAACAUUUCAAAAAAAGACCUGAAGUGCCAUUAUUUUCUCAAAUAAGAACCCGAAGUGAAUAUUAUUUCACAUAAUGACUUGAAGUGACAUUAGUUGUUUCAAAUAAGGGCAUCAUCUUGCCGGUUGCCAACCAACUAAGUUUUCCGAACGGUGAAAGGUAAUUUCGUCAUUUUUCACUUUCUCCUUUUUUUUUUUCUUUUUUUUUUCUUCUAGUUCUUCUUCUUCUUUUUCUUCCUCUUCACCAGCAGCUAGCUAGCCAUUGGUGAUGCCCACAAAGGGUUGGGCGAACGUUGCCCUCGCUGGCAAAGGCCAUCCAUGCCGGCCACAGGCAAGGGACAGCUUUGCUUGGGUGAGGCGACCCUCGCCCUAGGGCCAUCUGCAAGGUCGGCCCUUGGCGGCCCCAAGCGAGACCAACCCUCGCUAGAUCUGUGAGGGUGGCCUCACCCGUGGUCGGUGAGGGUUGGGCAACUUCGCUAGCUGGUGGUAAGGGCCAACGAGGACCUGCAAGCUCUCACCUGGGGUAAGUGAGGCUAAUCCUUUCUAGACCAGCGGUCGACGAGGACCUACAAGCCCUUGUUGGUGGUAGGUGAAGCCAUCCUCACGAGAUCUGGUGAGGGUUGACCUCGCCUGCCCUAGGCGAGGGCACGACCACCCUCGCUAGUGGGCGACGAACGAUGAGGUUGCCUAGCCCUCGCCUAUUGCGGGCGAGGCCACCUUUGCCAGAUCUGGAGAGGGUUGGCCUCACUUGGGGCUACCAAGGGCUAACCUCGUAGAUGGCCCUAGGGUGAGGGUCACCUUGCCCAAGGGAGGCCGUCCCUCACUUGUAGCCGGUGUGGGUUGUCCUUGCUAGCGAGGACGACCCUUGCCCAACCCUCUGUGGGCAUCGCCAGUGGGUGGCCGAUUGGCUAGUGGCAAAGGGGGUGAAGAAGAACAAAAAUUAAAAAGGAAAUAAAAAAAGGAAAAUAGCAAAUAACGAAAAUGCUCCUCAUUGCCGAAAAUUCAAGUGCUUAUUUGAAAUGGACAUAGUUACUUCAUGCCCUUAUUUAAAAUAGACAUAAUCGUUUUAGGUCCUCAUUUGAUACAAGAUCCACUCCAGGCACUUAUUUAAGAAAGUGAUGACACUUCAUGUCCUUAUUUAAAAUAAGGUCCAUUUCGGGCACUUAUUUAAGAAAAUGAGAACACUUGGAGUCCAUUUUUGAGAUUUUCCCUUAAAACUUUGAUUUGUUGAAAAGUUCAUUAUGAUAUUAGAUAAUGAAAUCUUCCUUUACCUUACAAUUAUAUUUUCUCGCCCUUCAACCCCGGUCAGAUCCCAAUCUAACCAUUUGAUCAAGGCAUCGUAUAAUAUCUAAAUCUUACCCAAAAAAAAAAAGAAGAAGAGAAAAAGGAAUCAUAAUGGAUCCAUUAAAUACAUGAGAUUGGCUGUGCAUGUGCUAGAGAUUGUGUGCAUGCAUGUAUUUAGGAAAAGAAAAAGAAGAAGAAAUAAUUACAUAGAUGAGAGGAACACAUGGAAUAGAUGAUUUGGCAUUCUAUCCCUCUUCCUAAAAAAGUAAGUUAAAUGUAAGAAUUUUGCGAGAGGUCGCUCGAUGUAUGAUAUCACGUUAUGUGAUCAACGAAUUGUCUAAUCGGCUAUCGUUCAAAUGGAUACAUCUGGACAGAAGAGACAACUCGAGACGGAAGAUAAGAUGACCUUUUACCAAAGGUGAGCAUUGGUAUCAUUUGUCAAGCUUUCAAGCCUUUUGUCAUAUCGGAUAAUCUCGACGUGUCAAGAACGAAAGUAAUUGAGGCAAGAUAGCCCGAGGAUUAAGGCAACGCCCCUAGAUUCAAAGCAAGCCGCGUGCAAAUCACUUCAUUAAUCCCUUAAUCAUCACCAAAUCUUCGCGGGUCGUCUUCCCUAAAUGGGUCUUGGAUAACCAUCGUUGAAUCAGCGCGUAAAUGAACGCACCACCUCCACAAGAUUUGGUCUAUCAAUUCAACCAAAACCAACUCAAUUUCUCUCCUCAUUUAAGAAAAGAAGAAGGUAAAAAAUCUAUAAAAAAAAAGUAUUAUUUAACGAGUGCCUAAGAUACUAAUCAUUCAAUUAGAUGAGAAAACUUAGGUUUUCAAAAUUAUAAGGCUACGUUUGGUCGUCUAAGAAUUUUAUCAAGAUAGGACUUGAUAGAAUACAAUAUAAUUUAGGGAUUUUGCUAUAUUUUAUCUACUGUUUAGUGAGUUGCAGUAAUAAAUCCAGAUAUUUUUAUAUCAUAUUUUGUCCAUUGUUUGAUAUGAGCAACAUAUCGAUAUAAAUGAAUUUGAAAAUGUACAAAUGAAAAUAGUAAGAAUUUCUCAUGAGUCACUACUAAAGAAAUCACAAGUGCAAAAACGGAGAUGACCUUUAUCAAUCAAUUCAUAAUUACUGUAUCAUCUACAUUAUGAUCUACAUCUUAAACAAAGAAAAGAGCUCAUUGCAGCAUUCUAGAGCCACAUGUUUAACAGUGACAAGAAAUGUAAAUGGACUACAACAACAUUGAGAAUGCAAGUUUUUAGGUGCCGAGAAUUACUUUUUGUAUAGUUCUGUUGGUUAAAAGUCAAUAUACAUCUCAUCUUACCCAAAAAAAAAAAAAACUAAACCUGGUAUAUGAUAUAUCCUAUCCCAACUACCAAAUGUAGGCUAUUUUCUUUUGCUUAUAGAUAAAAUAUUUCCUAUUGAGUAUACAUGAAAAUACGUCGUUGAGAUCGAGGGAAAGGAAAAUAGGAGAAAGGAAAGAAAUUCCAGGUCUCCCAUAAAGAAGGGAAGCUUCUCGGUGAUGCCGUAGCGUCGGACUUUUCCUUAUAAAUACCCUCCAUCGCAACGCAUACGCUUCUUCAUUCUUUUCACAUACCCGUCCUUCUUUUCCUUUCAUCCGAUCAGCUUCGCAACAAAGGUUUCAAUCAAUUCUCCGGAAUGGAUAAGCUGUUUCAUGGGAUGCUGCACGCCUUCGGCCGUGGUGACAAGGCAGGCCACCGGCGCAAGGCGGGCAGGUCCAAGAAGGUCAAGGGGACCGUGGUGCUGAUGAAGAAGUACGUCUUGGACUUCAACGACUUCAACGCGUCGGUCCUUGACAACGUCGACGAGCUGCUGGGUAAGAAGGUCUCUCUGCGACUCGUGAGCGUCGUCCACGGUGAUCCCGGUGAGUCAUGACCCUCCUCCACGCUAUCUUCUUGUCGUUCAUUUCUGGAACAAGUUCUUUCAAUGGCUUUUCUUGGUACUAGACUGUGCUGUACAUUUCUGUUGACAAAAUCUGAUGAAUGGCAACAAAUUAAACUGGUUGUCAUCAUGACAAGCGAUCUUCUUCCCCAAAAAGAAUAGGAAAUAAUAAGUAUUUCACAUAACUUGCAUGUCUCAACUUUUUGCUUAGAUUUCAAGAAAGUGUAACAUAUGCAUCUUCGCUUUACUUGCAGUGUGUUAUUGACAAGAGUAUGGUAGUGCAAUUUGUGUUUUAAGCUUUUUGGUUCUGUUGCACGGUACUCUUGCGUUGGAUUCAAGAUUCGGAAAUUGGCCGUGCAUGCGAUACAGUCAACCUGAUCUAUCGCAGUCCCUACUGAAUUUAUCUUCUGAAGUUUGAUCUUUUCUGUGCAACUUUAGAGAACAUGUGUAAUCUUGAUGGACUUAGAAAAAAAUUGCAUAUAUUUUUUCCUAAAUUAUGAUAGGUCAAACUUAGUUACCGCAUGUUUGUUGAUAGGACGACUCUAUUAUGCACACGUUUAUAGACAUAGAUAAACAGUAUGUACCCACAUAUUUUUCGACAAUUUUUCAAAUUUAAAUAGAUGGAUCAUAGUAAGUUUAGAGUAUCAUUAAAUCUUGCAGUUUCACGACCUCCCCGGUGGAGGCCAAAGUUCGAAUCCCCUGCAAAGCAGGGAGGCAGUCUUAGCUACUACAUGGUGACUUAAGCGUGACGUCGGGGUGGUGGUUUCCCCGCUAGCGUCGCCGGGAGGUUUACGGCACACUGCCGGUGCAAGCUGGUUCCUCCUGUUCAAAAAAAAAAUAAAAAAAAUAGAUGGAUCAUAGUAAGCUUAAUCAUUAAAUCUUGCAGUUUCACGUGACAGAAAUUUGAGUACAUUUCGGUGUUUGCACUAUAAUUAGGAUUCUCUUAUAAAUGAGAGGCUUUCUAAACCAAACUUAUAAUUUAAAGGAAAAAAUUAUNNNNNNNNNNNNNNNNNNNNNNNNNNNNNNNNNNNNNNNNNNNNNNNNNNNNNNNNNNNNNNNNNNNNNNNNNNNNNNNNNNNNNNNNNNNNNNNNNNNNUUUUUUUAAGUUUUUUAAGUUUUUUAAAUAUUAUUUUUUAAAAUAUUUUAACUAAAUUUAAUUUUUAAUUUAAUUUAAUUUAAUUAUUUAUUUAUUUUGUUCCACGUCAGCCAAAACGACGCCGUUUUGGCCACGUCAACGUGCAAAACGGCGCCGUUUUGGCCGCGCUUCGCCGGAAAAAAGCCACGUUGGUGUUUUGGCCGGAUUUUGGCUGGAUUGGCACUCAAGUGAUCUUUUUUACUCCGAUUUUGGCACUUAAGUGUACCUUUCAUAAGUUAUGGCACUUAAGUGUCCCUUUGGGCAAAGUUAAGGUACUUGAGGGGUCCGCACGUCAUAUAGCAGCAUUUGUAAGCUCGAGUAAAUAUGUAUUUUUUUUUUCAUGUUUUGGUAGAAGCAAAUGAAAUUAAGGUUUCGUUUAUUUCGCAAAAAUGAUUAUAUUUUUCGGUAUUUGGUUGAAACUUAAAAAUGUGCUAGAAAAUAUUUUCUACAGUUUGGUAUGGAUUACACUCUUUUUAAUGAUAUUUUCUUUCUCUUUGUUUUUUAUUUUCUUUUGUGAAAAAUAAAAUUUUAAUUAUUUUUAUUUUAUUCUUUUUCCUUCUUCUUUGGCCAAUUGCUGGCCACGACAAUUGGCCUUAGUCGAACUCAAGCCUUGCCACAUUCUGACGAGUUCAAGUCUUGCUAGAUCGACAAGGAUUGAGGUUGGUCUUGCUAUAUUGCUCGUGGCCCUCCAGCGAGCUUGUUACUCACUUGUGAUCGAUUGUUGGCCAUCGUCAUGGCCAGCUGAGGAAGAAGCAAUAAGAAAAGGAAAGAAAAGAACAAAGAAAUAAAAAGUCAAAAUUUUUAAAAAUAAAAAAAGUUAGAUAUUCAAAUUUUUAAAAAUUAAAAUAAAUUAAAAUUCAAUUAUAGAAAAAAAAUAUUUUUAUAAGAACGAACGUUUCAUUAAUCAAGAACCCAAGCUUGAACGCCAACAACUCAUGCACGGCCUUUGUGGAGCCAAGCUUGAGUGGUAGGGACUAGAGCUCAAGCGUCGAGGGCCGAGAAUGAUCAUUAUGGAUGUAGGGUCAAGUGCCGGGGAACAAGGGGUUUGGGCUCGAGUGCUAGGGGCCUGGGCCUAGAAACGAGGUCUUGAGCCUAGCCUCAAUGGACAUUGGUUCAGUCUCGUGCUCAAGCAUUAGAGACCUGGUCCUUGCCUUGAUGGACACAGGCUCGGCAUUGAUGGACCUAGCUUGGGUAUUGGAGACUUGGGAACUAGAAAUGCUAUAUAUUUUUUGCGAAACAAAUAGGGUAUUUUAAACAAUCAAUCAAAGGUUUCCUCUAGUCAAUAGCCCAAUCUCAAGUUCUUUCUAAGUUUUUUUUUUGAAAGAAAAUUAUAUUUAUUACCCAAAAUGAUAGAGAAGUACAUAGCUUUCAUGAUAAAGUAAAGCGAAAGAUAGCAUGAAUCUUAAAAACAAAGCCAAAUCUAGAAAAAUAAGGAGGAUCAACGAAGCACCAGCAAAAAUCAAGCACAAACUUGUUCCACAAAAACGGAUUUGUCAAACAAAAUUGGUGUCGCAAAUUUCUUUUCCAUUAAUUACAAUGUUGCUAAUUGGAGGUGUGUGCCUAGGUUUUGCUUCCUCUACACCAUCAUCAUAUGGAAACAACUAGAACAGGUUAAACAAACACAGGUAUAAUACGUGGAGGAGCAAAUUUUCGUAAUUCAACGAGACACGAAAACUGCUGCAUUCGUCAUUAAGGUUGGAGACAAAGAACCUAUACAAGAAUAUAGCAAAGAGGCAUAUGAUCCCCGAAGGCAUAUUUAUUAAGCUCCCAGACCUAGAUCGGGAGAGGAUAUCAUCCAAAGCUCAAGUUCUCUAUCUUCUUUUUUCUUUUUAAUUGUUUCUAACUAAACGAAUUUCCUAUUAUUGACCGAACACAUUUCUUGAAUUUAAAGUUUUUUUUUCUUGCAUGACUAUGUUUCUUGACUACAUAACGGAUUGGGGGUGUGCAUGGUCCGGGCAGGUGGUUCCUAACCUAGAACCAAGGACCGCCUGCUAAGAACUGGUUUCGAAAAAUUGGAACUGGGAACCGCCCGCUAGUUGCAUGGAUCCACCCGGGAACUGGAUUGUCAAUCUGGUUCGGUUUCCGGGUGGAUCCAUAGAACCGGUCAAACCUUCGCGCCUUCCUCUUUUCGUCCUCCCCACAUCUGCUUAUUUUGGCUCUCCCGACCAUGGUAGCUUUAUUUUCCUCAAGUACUAGCGCUGCGGUAGUGUUCAUGACGGUGGUGGUCGUGACCUUCGCUCCGCUUCUGUCCCGGCCUCCACCACCAUCUUCACCACCGCCUCUGCCAUCUUUAACUCCUCCUUCAAGACCGACAAUGAGGAGGAUAAUAGGGACGAUGAGCCGUUCUUAGACCUAAAGUUCACCCGUCCCCGAAGAUGAGGAUGAUGGGGAGAAACUUGAGGAGGGGGAGGAGGAAGAGGGGAGGUAGAAUCGGGACGAGCCCAACAACGAAGAGGACGAUAGUGACAGUGAAUGCAGAGGUAGCAAUGAUGUGGAGAGAGAGUUCAAGUUUAAGGGAGGAAAAGAGAAUCAACUCACUAUUUCGCUGAGUUCAGACUAGGACUUGAAGGGAGAUGAAAAGAUCCAGAGGUGAAUCGGAGAGAAAGAGGGAGCUUGGGGAGAUUUUGAACUAAGAGAGACGAUAUGAAGUAGGAGAGUGGUAAAUUGAGACAAGAUGGUGAUUAGAGCCCAAAAUUUUAAAUUUGCUAAUUUCGAAUUUUUUUAAUAUUGAAAUUUAAUAUAUUAUUAUAAUAAUAUAACUGGUUUGGUCCGGAUGGACAGGUGGACGGAUCCGCCCAUGGAAUCCGGAACCAGACUGGUAUUCACUGGUUCCCAUAAAUUGGAAUCGGGAACCGGACCGGUUCCCUUAAGAAUCACUUGUUCCAAGCAGUUUCGGUCCGGUUCCAGGCAGUUCGGGUGGGUCCCGGUUAUUUUGCACACCCCAAGUAAUGGAGCUACAACCUCGCUGUGGGUAAAUUUGGCAUUCGUUUAUGGAUGGUUGAAUAAGGGUUUUGAUCGAGAGGUGAGGUUUGCAUUGCCUCAAGCAUGAAUUGAAUAUGAUGGCCAUUGCCAUCAAGGACGAUGCAAGAGUGCUCAGAUACUGUUAAUUCGGAAAAGAGAAUUAGUUGAAAGAGUUCUCUUUCAGAUCGUCUAUGCGAUCCAUAGAAUGGCUCUUCGCCUAGCGUGCACUGCAACGAGAAAAGACAUCAUCGUAAAACACGAAGUGAUUUUCCUCACGUCAUGUCCUAGGACCACACGACCCAAUUAACCAAUGGUGCAUGGCAUUAGCAAUUAUUGUAGUUAAUUUCUGGUUAUUGGCCAAUAAUAUAAUUAUAUAAGCUGUCAUUUGUCACUUAUUAUUGGAAAUUUGUGCCGCAUUCCGCAAGGAUGUGCUUUCUAAAAUCACUUCAUUGAGCACAAGUUCGGGUCCUAGUCCUUUCCUUUUGGUUUUCAGCACAAGAUCAGGUUCUUGUUUGUUGAAACGGAUCCAUUCUUGCGACAGCAAAAAGAUUAUGGAUAACAUAAUAUCAGUGGGAAUGAACUAAAAAUUGGAAACAAAAUGCAAAUGACUCUGCGCAGAUCAUUGAUCAGAUCGAGACCCUUUGCCAUGUUAAAGAUGAACGUCAGUCUCAUUCGCUGGGACACAAAGUUCGAAAGCUUUGAAACCUUUAAUUUCUUUUUCGUGCUUUGCAGAAAACUGUUUGCGGGGGAAAUUGGGAAAGCCUGCACAUCUGGAAGGAUGGAUCACUACCAUCACUCCCUUAACGACAGGGGACUCGGCGUUCAAGGUCACUUUCAAUUGGGACAAGGAGGUGGGAGUUCCAGGGGCGAUCAUCGUACAAAAUAACCAUCACAGUCAGUUUUACCUCAAGACGAUCACACUCGAAGAUGUGCCCGGUGAGGGCCGAGUCCACUUCGUCUGCAACUCGUGGGUCUACCCUGCCAACCAGUACAAGAAGGACCGGGUCUUCUUCUCUAACAAGGUUCGAUCACAAUAAUUUUAUUGAUGGAGCUAAGCUAUAGCCGCCAUGUAUGAUUUGCUUCCAGAGUCUCAUUAGGACAAAAUAAAAGACAUUGCCUCCGAUAUGAAGACUUAAAUCUUGUUCUACAUAGAGUUGUCCUAAAGGAUUAGCCGAUUGGUCAGAAAGGAGUGACUUUUCAAGCGGUCCUAGCUUCCCGAAAACAUAAUUUGGGUAGCAGAAUCUCACUCCUAGGAAUUUUCCAGGUUGCACUCUACUUUUAACCAGUUUCAGCAUCUGAGCUUUCCGAUUUCGCCGAAGUGCGGCAUUUCACUUAGGAAUUGCACUUAAUAUUGGCUGAACGCAUUCAGUUUCGGACUCUGUUCUAUUCUGUCACAUGAAAUAGCAAUUUGAUUGGACGGUGUUCCUUAGGUUGUCUAAUAAGAUAGCACGUUUUUGCAGACGUAUCUUCCAAGCCAAACUCCAGCGCCUCUAGUGAAGUACCGAGAGGAAGAGUUAGUUAACUUGAGAGGAGACGGAACGGGAGAGCUUCAGGAGUGGGACAGGGUGUACGACUAUGCUUACUACAAUGAUUUGGGUGAUCCAGACAAGGGCUCGAAGUAUGCCCGCCCUGUACUAGGAGGAUCUUCUGAAUAUCCCUAUCCUCGCAGAGGAAGGACCGGUCGACCUCCGACUGAGACAGGUUAGAUAAUGCACUCAUAUCACGAAUCUCCAAUUUGAUGUGAGAUUAUUAUGGCUUCUUUUUUUUUUAUUUUUGACAAAGAUGCUUCAUUUGUAAGUAUAUUUUACUGAAUUUUCAUGAUGUUAUCGACAGAUCCAAAUACUGAGAGCAGGCUGCCUCUGCUCAUGAGCCUAAACACAUACGUUCCAAGGGACGAACGGUUUGGUCACUUAAAGAUGUCUGACUUCCUUGCUUAUGCUCUAAAAGCCGUGGGUCAAUUUCUGAAGCCCGAGCUAGAGAGUAUAUUCGACAGCACGCCCAAUGAGUUUGACUCCUUCCAGGAUGUGCUCAAUCUCUAUGAGGGCGGUAUUAAGCUUCCCAAUUGCCCUUUGCUGGAGAGUCUGAAGGAGAACAUUCCCCUCGAGAUGCUUAAGAUACUCUUUCGGACAGAUGGGGAAGGGCUUCUCGAGUACCCCAUGCCUCAGGUGAUCAAAGGUAAUGGAUACAUAUAUGUAUGGGACCUUUUUCAUCUGAUUAGUUCGAGGCUGUUUUCCUAACGUUUAGCAAUCAUCCUGUGCAGAGGAUAAGAUUGCCUGGAGGACCGAUGUAGAAUUCGGUAGAGAAAUGCUCGCUGGAGUCAACCCUGUCGUGAUUCGCUGUCUCCAGGUAAAUAACAAUAUCUUUCACGUUACAGCUCGAACAAAUUCAGUUAAUAUUAAAAUGAGGUGCGGAAUGGAGUUCCACCAAUUGUCUAGUUGAUUGAACAUUUUUUGUUGAUUUCAGGAAUUCCCUCCGGCAAGCAAGCUAGACCCUAAUAUAUAUGGCAACCAGAGCAGUUCAAUAAGGGAAGAGCUCAUUCAGGAGCAACUGAAUGGAUUAACUGUCCAACAGGUACCUUUCAUUGCAUCUCACAUCACUAAGAGCGUCCAUAUACUUGCUUAUAAGAUGAUGGCGAUUUCAUUUAAGUUAUAAUAUCCAAAUUGAAACGAUGCAUAACAAAUGCAGGCUAUCAAGAUGAACAAAUUAUUCAUACUGGAUCACCAUGAUUCGAUCAUGCCAUAUCUGAGGCGGAUAAACACAACUACCACUAAAACGUAUGCUACUCGAACACUCCUCUUCUUGAAGGAUGAUGGUACCUUGAAGCCGCUGGCAAUAGAGCUUAGCAUGCCGCAUCCUGAGGGAGACGAGUUUGGUGCGAUGAGCAAGGUGUACACGCCGGCCGAUCAAGGCGUCGAAGGUUCCAUCUGGCAACUGGCUAAAGCUUAUGUGGCAGUUAAUGACGCAGGCUAUCACCAACUCAGCAGCCACUGGUAAAGAUCUCAGAGGAGCAUUCACCUAUAUAAAGAAGGGAAAUUUUUAUUUAUUUAUUUCCUGCAUAUUGAUAAUUUUCUUUAUUCUUACCACAGGUUGAAUACUCACGCGGCGAUUGAACCAUUUGUGAUUGCAACAAAUAGACAAUUGAGUGUGCUUCACCCCAUCUACAAACUUUUGCAUCCCCAUUUCCGUGACACGAUGGAGAUAAAUGCAAUCGCCAGGCAGAUUGUGAUCAAUGCGGGUGGAAUCCUGGAGACGACUGUAUUCCCAGCGAAGUACUCCAUGGAGAUGUCUUCCGCCAUCUACAAGAACUGGAUUUUCCCCGAGCAAGCGCUUCCUGCUGACCUCAUCAAGCGGUAAAUUCACUGUUCUAUACAUAUAAAUCAUCCAUAGGACUUCUAUUUAAAAUUGCUUCAAAAAGAAAGAAAAAUCAAGGCCUAUGAAGAUUGCACAAAUGUACUUGGAAUAGCCAAGGCUCGUGCUGAGAUACAUAUCAACAUAGCUAUCCUUUGUUUUACUUGAAUUAUUCUGAUAGACUGAGUGUGACGAAAAUAUUCUACCUUUUCUUGUCUUCAGGGGAGUUGCUGUGGAAGAUGCGAACUCCCCGCAUGGCCUCCACCUAUUGAUUAAGGACUACCCCUACGCGGUAGAUGGGCUCGAGAUCUGGUCCGCGAUCAAGACGUGGGUUGAGGACUACUGCUCCUUUUAUUACAAGAGUGACGAGACGGUACAGAAGGAUGAGGAACUCCAAUCCUGGUGGAGGGAACUCGUGGAGGAGGGACACGGCGACAAGAAGGGUGAGCCCUGGUGGCCUAAAAUGCAGACUGUGAAGGACCUAACAGAGACAUGUACGAUCACCAUCUGGAUCGCGUCUGCUCUCCAUGCGGCUGUGAACUUUGGGCAAUACCCUUAUGCAGGGUAC